rnacentral:rRNA from 1 species
UACGGAGGAUGCGAGCGUUAUCCGGAUUCAUUGGGUUUAAAGGGUGCGUAGGCGGUUUCUUAAGUCAGUGGUGAAAUCCUGCGGCUCAACCGUAGAACUGCCAUUGAUACUGAGAAACUUGAAUUUAGUUGAGGUAGGCGGAAUGAGUAGUGUAGCGGUGAAAUGCUUAGAUAUUACUCAGAACACCAAUUGCGAAGGCAGCUUACUAAGCUAAUAUUGACGCUGAUGCACGAAAGCGUGGGGAGCGAACAGG